CCUACGGGUGGCAGCAGUGGGGAAUAUUGGACAAUGGGGGGAACCCUGAUCCAGCCAUGCCGCGUGUGUGAAGAAGGCCCUCGGGUUGUAAAGCACUUUCAGUGAGGAAGAACGCCUGGUGGUUAAUACCCAUCAGGAAAGACAUCACUCACAGAAGAAGCACCGGCUAACUCCGUGCCAGCAGCCGCGGUAAUACGGAGGGUGCGAGCGUUAAUCGGAAUUACUGGGCGUAAAGCGCGCGUAGGUGGCUUGAUAAGCCGGUUGUGAAAGCCCCGGGCUCAACCUGGGAACGGCAUCCGGAACUGUCAAGCUAGAGUGCAGGAGAGGAAGGUAGAAUUCCCGGUGUAGCGGUGAAAUGCGUAGAGACCGGGAGGAAUACCAGUGGCGAAGGCGGCCUUCUGGACUGACACUGACACUGAGGUGCGAAAGCGUGGGUAGCAAACAGGAUUAGAUACCCUAGUAGUC
rnacentral:rRNA from 1 species